UAAUACGAAGGGGGCUAGCGUUGCUCGGAAUUACUGGGCGUAAAGGGCGCGUAGGCGGACAGUUAAGUUGGGGGUGAAAGCCCGGGGCUCAACCUCGGAAUUGCCUUCAAUACUGGCUGUCUUGAGUACGGGAGAGGUGUGUGGAACUCCGAGUGUAGAGGUGAAAUUCGUAGAUAUUCGGAAGAACACCAGUGGCGAAGGCGACACACUGGCCCGUUACUGACGCUGAGGCGCGAAAGCGUGGGGAGCAAACAGGAUUAGAUACCCUGGUAGUCCACGCCGUAAACGAUGAGUGCUAGUUGUCGGCAUGCAUGCAUGUCGGUGACGCAGCUAACGCAUUAAGCACUCCGCCUGGGGAGUACGGUCGCAAGAUUA
rnacentral:rRNA from 1 species